rnacentral:rRNA from 4 species
CUGUGUGUUGUUGGGUAGGGGAGCGUUCUGUAAGCCUGCGAAGGUGGCCUGUGAGGGUUGCUGGAGGUAUCAGAAGUGCGAAUGCUGACAUAAGUAACGAUAAAGCGGGUGAAAAGCCCGCUCGCCGGAAGACCAAGGGUUCCUGUCCAACGUUAAUCGGGGCAGGGUGAGUCGACCCCUAAGGCGAGGCCGAAAGGCGUAGUCGAUGGGAAACGGGUUAAUAUUCCCGUACUUGGUGUUACUGCGAAGGGGGGACGGAGAAGGCUAUGUUGGCCGGGCGACGGUUGUCCCGGUUUAAGCGUGUAGGUGUGUGUUCCAGGUAAAUCCGGUUCACUUUAACACUGAGGCGUGACGACGAGGCACUACGGUGCUGAAGCAACAAAUGCCCUGCUUCCAGGAAAAGCCUCUAAGCAUCAGGUAACAUCAAAUCGUACCCCAAACCGACACAGGUGGUCAGGUAGAGAAUACCAAGGCGCUUGAGAGAACUCGGGUGAAGGAACUAGGCAAAAUGGUGCCGUAACUUCGGGAGAAGGCACGCUGACACGUAGGUGAAGUGAUUUACUCAUGGAGCUGAAGUCAGUCGAAGAUACCAGCUGGCUGCAACUGUUUAUUAAAAACACAGCACUGUGCAAACACGAAAGUGGACGUAUACGGUGUGACGCCUGCCCGGUGCCGGAAGGUUAAUUGAUGGGGUCAGCGCAAGCGAAGCUCCUGAUCGAAGCCCCGGUAAACGGCGGCCGUAACUAUAACGGUCCUAAGGUAGCGAAAUUCCUUGUCGGGUAAGUUCCGACCUGCACGAAUGGCGUAAUGAUGGCCAGGCUGUCUCCACCCGAGACUCAGUGAAAUUGAACUCGCUGUGAAGAUGCAGUGUACCCGCGGCAAGACGGAAAGACCCCGUGAACCUUUACUAUAGCUUGACACUGAACAUUGAGCCUUGAUGUGUAGGAUAGGUGGGAGGCUUUGAAGUGUGGACGCCAGUCUGCAUGGAGCCGACCUUGAAAUACCACCCUUUAAUGUUUGAUGUUCUAACGUGGACCCGUUACCCGGGUUGCGGACAGUGUCUGGUGGGUAGUUUGACUGGGGCGGUCUCCUCCUAAAGAGUAACGGAGGAGCACGAAGGUUGGCUAAUCCUGGUCGGACAUCAGGAGGUUAGUGCAAUGGCAUAAGCCAGCUUGACUGCGAGCGUGACGGCGCGAGCAGGUGCGAAAGCAGGUCAUAGUGAUCCGGUGGUUCUGAAUGGAAGGGCCAUCGCUCAACGGAUAAAAGGUACUCCGGGGAUAACAGGCUGAUACCGCCCAAGAGUUCAUAUCGACGGCGGUGUUUGGCACCUCGAUGUCGGCUCAUCACAUCCUGGGGCUGAAGUAGGUCCCAAGGGUAUGGCUGUUCGCCAUUUAAAGUGGUACGCGAGCUGGGUUUAGAACGUCGUGAGACAGUUCGGUCCCUAUCUGCCGUGGGCGCUGGAGAACUGAGGGGGGCUGCUCCUAGUACGAGAGGACCGGAGUGGACGCAUCACUGGUGUUCGGGUUGUCAUGCCAAUGGCACUGCCCGGUAGCUAAAUGCGGAAGAGAUAAGUGCUGAAAGCAUCUAAGCACGAAACUUGCCCCGAG